GAUGAACGCUGGCGGCGUGCCUAAUACAUGCAAGUCGAACGAAACUUCUUUAUCACCGAGUGCUUGCACUCACCGAUAAAGAGUUGAGUGGCGAACGGGUGAGUAACACGUGGGCAACCUGCCCAAAAGAGGGGGAUAACACUUGGAAACAGGUGCUAAUACCGCAUAACCAUAGUUACCGCAUGGUAACUAUGUAAAAGGUGGCUAUACUACCGCUUGUGGAUGGGCCCGCGGCGCAUUAGCUAGUUGGUAGGGUAAAGGCUUACCAAGGCAAUGAUGGGUAGCCGGCAUGAGAGGGUGACCGGCCAAAGUGGGACUGAGAUACGGCCCAGACUCAUACGGGAGGCAGCAGUGGGGAAGAGUGCAAAAUGGGCGGAAGACGGAUGCAGCAAGGCGGCGUGCGGGAUGACGGCCUUCGGGUUGUAACCCGAUUUCGCCGGUGACGAAGCGUGAGGGACGGUAAUGGGUAAAGAAGCACAGGCUAACUACGUG
rnacentral:rRNA from 1 species